AACAAAGAAUAAAAGGUCGAGCCUGCCCGGUGACUAUAUGUUUAACGGCCGCGGUAUUUUAACCGUGCAAAGGUAGCGCAAUCACUUGUCUUUUAAAUGAAGACCUGUAUGAAUGGUAUUACGAGGGCUUAACUGUCUCCUUUUUCAAGUCAGUGAAAUUGAUCUCCCCGUGCAGAAGCGGGGAUAAGACCAUAAGACGAGAAGACCCUAUGGAGCUUUAAGACACCAAGGCAAAUCAAGUUAAACACCCCUAAACAAAGGACUAAACCUAUUGAACUCUUGCCCGUAUGUCUUCGGUUGGGGCGACCAUGGGGAAACAAGAAACCCCCACGUGGAACGGGAGCACAACUACUCCUACAGCUGAGAGCUGCCGCUCUAAUAAGCAGAACUUCUGACCAAUAACUGAUCCGGCAACGCCGAUCAACGGACCAAGUUACCCUAGGGAUAACAGCGCAAUCCCCUUUUAGAGCCCCUAUCGACAAGGGGGUUUACGACCUCGAUGUUGGAUCAGGACAUCCCAAUGGUGCAGCCGCUAUUGAAGGUUCGUUUGUUCAACGAUUAAAGUCCUACGUGAUCUGAGUUCAGACCGG
rnacentral:rRNA from 1 species